AAGUUCAUAGGGUGGAGGUCAUCGAGAAAUGAGAGGGGAGGUAUCUUUUGCUUGUGACUUGGGAGGUGUGCGUUUGGGGUAUCACGUGGUUACAGGACCCGGUGUUCAUACUGGGUGACAACUUCGGUAGGAAUCGGGAAGCGCGUACAUGGAACUAGAAGUGUUAUUAAUGCUUUACAUUAUCGCCACGUAGGCCGUUUAUUGAUCGAGGGAAUAUAAGUACGGUAACGUCGCGUCAUCCUGAAGUUGUCUUUGUUCUAUUUGUCUAACUUGCAAUUUUGUUGUGUUGUACUUUAUCGACCAGUCCAACUAACUUGGUUGCAACACUACAGUCGGUCAGUAGCCUAUAUUAAGCCGAGUAUUAUGGGCUGUAUGUCUUAUUCCUGAUAAUCAGAAGAAUAUACGACCUUCAUGUAUAAAGUCUUGUUUAUUGCGCCUGCAAAUUGUAUAGCAUAUCUCGGUCUUGAUCAUGCUGACGGGAUUUGGAAGGAAGUGCUAAUUUAAUAAAUCACACGGCUGUUAAUGAAGAAACACCAAAACAAACAAGUAAAAUGUUGUCAUGCUGUUAAUUCUCAAAUCAUUCGGUGAUUUUCUUUACUUUCUUUCAUUCGGUGAUUUUCUUUACUUUCUUUAGUAUUUUAAUCAGAGGUUUUCUAAUAGCCUAUUCAUUUUGCACUUGGUUUAUCUUCCUGGACACUGUUCUUGAUAGUCUAUUUUAGUUUUUACUCGGCUGCUUCUAAUGAUCCCAUUCAUCGACAUAACAACAUGAACGAAAAGUCUGAUUUGGUUGGUAGUACGGACAGUGAUAACAAAAAUGUUGAUUCGGAAAAAAUGAAAAUAACCAAAUAUGAUGACCCUGACGCGUUCCAGGGGCACUUUAAUAAUGGCACGAGAGCUAUACCAGCCACCCAUCUGUACAAGCGGCGAUGGUUUAUUGUGUGUUUGUUCAGCUCGUACUCCCUGUGUAACUCUUUCCAAUGGAUACAGUAUGGAAUUAUCAACAAUAUUUUUACGAAGUUCUACAGUGUCGACUCUUUCACCAUUGACUGGAUGUCAAUGGUCUAUAUGUUGACAUACAUCCCUUUCAUAUUUCCCGUCACCUGGCUUUUGGACAAAAAGGGAUUGCGGGUAAUCGCACUUAUAGCGACCGCUUUGAAUUGCAUCGGGACGUGGAUAAAGGUGGCAAGCGUAAGAACUGACUUGUUUGGCGUAGCGAUGUUGGGACAGUUUACCAGUGCUCUGGCCCAGGUGUUCAUACUUGGAAUGCCAUCCCGUAUCGCCUCGGUGUGGUUUGGUUCCGAAGAGGUCUCUACAGCCUGCUCGAUUGGAGUCUUUGGAAACCAGCUGGGCAUAGCCAUCGGGUUCCUUGUCCCACCCAUGAUGGUGCCCAAUGUGGAUGACAUGGACAUGCUGGCACAUCACAUCAGGAUCAUGUUCUACAUGACUGCUGGAGUGGCGACCCUGCUGUUCAUCCUGGUGACCCUAGUGUUCCAGGACAUACCGGAAAUUCCACCAACGCAGGCCCAGGUGACAGCCCGGAGCAUCCCCCCAGAACAGUACUCCUACAUGGCCUCCAUCCUCAGACUCCUCCGCAACAAGCCCUUCCUCCUCCUCAUCCUCACCUAUGGUCUGAAUGUUGGCUGUUUCUAUGCUGUGGGCACGCUGCUGAACAGGAUGAUCAUCGAGAUCUACGAAGAUGAAGAGGUGAAUGCAGGGAGAAUUGGCCUCACUAUCGUCAUUGCAGGCAUGCUGGGCUCACUCAUCUGUGGUUUCUGGCUAGACAGAACAAAAACAUACAAACAGACUACAUUCGUCAUUUACUUCAUGUCUUUCCUUGGGAUGGUGGUAUACGCCUUCACCCUCGACCUGGGUCACCUGUGGGUGGUCUUCAUCACUGCUGGUACGCUGGGGUUCUUCAUGACAGGGUACCUCCCCCUGGGGUUCGAGUUUGCGGUGGAGCUGACGUACCCGGAGUCAGAAGGCACAUCUUCGGGCCUGCUUAACUGCUCGGCACAAGUAUUCGGGAUCGGAUUCACCAUCGCUCAGGGGAAAGUGAUGGAUGCCUUCGGUACACUUGCUGGAAACAUCUUCCUUUGUGCCUUUCUUUUAGUUGGGACCAUUCUUACAGGAUUUAUCAAGUCAGAUCUGAGGAGGCAAAAGGCGAACAAGUCUGCUGAGGAGUGUGUAAGCAUUUAUGUGUGUGGUGUCUGCAAUGUGAUGCUACAUGCACAGGAUGGCCUUGGAUGGCUUCUAUGCCUGCUUUGAAUGUGGGUAUCGUUUGACGGCGCUUCUAAAAACUCCAUUGACUCCAUGCUUGCUCAGAACAUCGUCUCCAUCCUCCUCGGCUUGGCUGUCCUUAACCGCUACCCCGCCGUUUUUGAAUUUGAGCACCUUUCCGUGCUCGGCUGUACCGCAUCUCCCACGUCAUGAAAUGCCUUUAAAUGUGCACUGAUGCACUGAUGCAUCUUUGCUCGGUUUCCUCCAGGUAUGACUGAUUUUGACUAGUGUUGCCAUCAGAUUUGGAACAAUGUGUGAAGGAUGAACUUUCACCUCACAAAAACUCUGCCAGUGUAAAGCUGGUCGCAUCGAAUCACUUUAUGGUUGCAAUUAAGUGAUGACUUUGUGGUGCUGCUGCCAAUUGAUGAUGUACAGUAAAACAUGACCAUUUCUGCUCGCUUUACUAGUCAAAAUAGGCACUUGUCCUUUGGACGUCAAAAACAAAUCACCAAUGGAUCAUUUUCCGGAUUUCACCAGCAUUUCUUACACAUUUUUAACAGCUGGAUACAAAUCAUUUUCAGUUUAUGCCUGCAGUCCGUUUCUCUUCAUCAACUUCCUCUACGAUCACUUCCUGCUCUUGCAUCAGUUCCUGCUCUUGCACUGGUCUCUGGACGGAUCACAGUCCCUCCAACCAGUCAAUUACCCAUCAAUCCAUGCUCAUUCAUCGCUGCUGGCGCCUGUCUCAGGUACCAGACUUUGUCAUAGCAGCAGAAAAACAACUGCCUCUCCACAUUUUUGAUAUUUCAGGGCUGUUUUUCUUGUUUGAGCAUCAAGCUGCUGUCACCAUAGGAGCAAAGUUUAAAAUCUUGCUAGUUUAGAAUGUUCUAGAAUGAGGGCGUUCUGCCCAUUGCACACCGUGCUGCUGAGUUAAGCACGUUAAUGUGGACGACGCUUGCAGUCGUCGACCAAUGAAGUCGGUGACGUAGGCGGAAUUACCAGAGGCACAGGCGUGUCAACCCCCCGCACCUCCACCCGCCAUCACCGCCACCACUCGUGACUUCCCCCGGUGUUGUUCCAGGCGGUGCAUACCCAGUCGUCGGUGCAGGACCAAUGGGCAGUGACCCCCAUGGCUGGGGCACAGCCCUGAUCGCUAGCCUCAAACCGUCAAACCCAAUCACAGACACGCCCAGGAGCUGGAGGAUGGCCUGGAGAGGGACAC